UACAGAGGGUGCAAGCGUUGUUCGGAAUUACUGGGCGUAAAGCGCACGUAGGCGGCUUUUUAAGUCUCACUGUGAAAUCCCGGGGCUCAACUCCGGGGCUGCAGGGGAUACUGGGAAGCUUGAGACCAGUAGAGGCGAGUGGAAUUCCGGGUGUAGCGGUGGAAUGCGUAGAGAUCCGGAAGAACACCAGAGGCGAAGGCGGCUCGCUAGGCUGGUUCUGACGCUGAGGUGCGAAAGCGUGGGGAGCGAACAGG
rnacentral:misc_RNA from 1 species